rnacentral:rRNA from 1 species
GACGAACGCUGGCGGCGUGCUUAACACAUGCAAGUCGAACGGUAAGGCCGGAGCUUGCUCUGGUGAAUUAGUGGCGAACGGGUGAGUAACACGUGAGUAACCUGCCCUUGACUCUGGGAUAACUGCUAGAAAUGGUAGCUAAUACCGGAUACGACCCUCGGAAGCAUCUUCAGGGGGUGGAAAGAAUUUCGGUCAAGGAUGGACUCGCGGCCUAUCAGCUAGUUGGUGAGGUAAUGGCUCACCAAGGCGACGACGGGUAGCCGGCCUGAGAGGGUGACCGGCACACUGGGACUGAGAUACGGCCCAGACUCCUACUGGAGGCAGCAGUGGGGAAUAUUGCACAAUGGGCGCAAGCCUGAGUCAGCGACGCCGCGUGAGGGAUGACGGCCUUCGGGUUGUAAACCUCUUUCGGCACCGACGAAGCGCAAGUGACGGUAGGUGCAGAAGAAGGACCGGCCAACUACGUGCCAGCCGCCGCCGUAA